rnacentral:rRNA from 1 species
UACGAAGGGGGCUAGCGUUGUUCGGAUUUACUGGGCGUAAAGCGCACGUAGGCGGAUUUUUAAGUCAGAGGUGAAAUCCCAAGGCUCAACCUUGGAACUGCCUUUGAUACUGGGAGUCUAGAGUCCGGGAGAGGUGAGUGGAACUGCGAGUGUAGAGGUGAAAUUCGUAGAUAUUCGCAAGAACACCAGUGGCGAAGGCGGCUCACUGGCCCGGUACUGACGCUGAGGUGCGAAAGCGUGGGGAGCAAACAGG